CUUGACUUGUAUGGGGUCAAAGGAAGUGCAUUCCAAUAUUUGAACAUCACUGGACUUUGUGGUAAGAAGGGGGAGUGACAUGCCUUUCUCAACAUCCCCUAAUGGUCAGAAUGUUCCCAAAAGUGUGUCGUAAUUCUCUGGGAAUCCUAUAUAAAAAGACCUCUUUCCUUCAGGCAUAUCAUCCUGACUUCAAACUUCCUUCACAAAAGCAUAGCAAGAACCAGAGCAUCAAGCAUCAACUAUGAGGGCUCUUUUCAUUCUAUUUGCUGCCUUCUUACUUGUUAUUCAGACCGUUCCAGGAAAUGCUGACCCUGCACCUGACACCAUGGCUUGUAAGAUUAAUGAUCGGGGGUUCUGCAAAUACGGAGAAUGCCCUGGAAUUACACAGCCCACAGGAGGGACAUGUCAAUGGGGAAGCCUUGUGUGCUGCAAAUCACCUUUUAGACCCUGAGAUUCUGGGGGAAAUUCCUGCCUACUUCGUGACCUUGUAUUAUAGACAAGAAUGAAGAACUCUCUGUUAUUGAAGAUUGAAAAUAUUGUGGAAAAUUAAAGGAACAGCACUCCCUGCCAUUCUUGCCUCCAAUCCCCACUGCUUUUUACACGCACACACUUCGACCCCUUGGAGAAACUUCCUAAAAUCUUCUUGCAAUCCAUGUAGUACAUUACUCCUAACUCAGUUCAUACAUAGACUCUUGGAACCCAAACAAGCAUUUGAGAAUGAUUAAUGAAAUCGUGGCACUGAACUGCAAACUGAAAAGUACAAAUUAUACUUAAGUAAAAGGAAGGAACAUCAGGCUUUCAGGAAUCGUGCACAAAAAAACCUCCUUACCUUUAUAUUUUUGAUUUGAUAUUUGAAAAAAUAUGAAAACACACACCUUUUGACAACCCACUAGCUAAUGCCCCUUCUUCUUUUUUGUUUCCAUGCACUUGACACACAAGGCCCCUUCCUCAUUUGGUUUCAUUUGGUUUACUACUGUUUAACCAUCUAUUGUAACUUAUGAUCAAUCCUUGAACUUUUGAUCUCAGAUGCUUUUCUGGGGGAAAACGCACACAUUUAGAUUUUUAAAACCAUUCUGAGUAUUACGAACAUGACCUUUUUAUCUGUGACAUAAAAUUAACACUGACCAAACUUUACAUGUGCCUGUCACUGUUUUGAAUUCUGUUAACACAUGAAUGAAAUGAAAUAAAAAGCAUCUCCAACAACAACAUUGUGCUGGUUCAUUCUUUUGGUUGCUAGUAGCUUGGUCACUCAAUGGUGUGUGAUUUCUUCUACUUUGACGCAAAACACUUAUUAUAAGUGGCCUUCAUCUUUAAAUUGGAAAAGAGGAAAUUUCCCUUUGUCCCGACAUUAAUAUUGUUUUACUCCUCCUCAGGAAAAAAUUGAAAAUUUGAGAAAAUGUUUUAAAAACAGAACUGAAAGAAAACCACCCACACAUUCCACAUACAAUGCAUUUGCACUUGCUAAUUUCAAUAUAUACUGCUGUUCAUUUCAUUGGAAUAUAUAUCUAUAUAUAUAAAAGGGUAAUGAAAUUUUGGCCUAGGACAAAACAACAAAACUACACAUUCCAGAAACACUAAACUUGGCAGCACAACCCCUCAUCCAUGCCUCUACGUUCAUACAACAAAAAGAAAAGAAAAAUAAAGUCCUAAUUAGAGGGAGAGGAAUAAUUGUUUUUAUCCAAUUGCUGCCAGUUACAAGGUUAAGCUCCACCCACUUGGUCUCCUAGCAACCCACUCAGCCCAGGGGACAGGCAGAUUAAGGCCUCACUUAGGCCUCUUCCACACUGCCUAUAAAAUACAGAUUAUCUGAUUUUAACUGGAUUAUAUGGCAGUGUAGACUCAAGGCCCUUCCACACAGCUAUAUAACCCAUUUAUAAUGGACUUAAUGUCAGGGGAAAACCUUUACCCUUUACCUUAACUACCACCAAUUCCUCAA
rnacentral:lncRNA from 11 species